rnacentral:rRNA from 1 species
UACGGAGGGAGCUAGCGUUGUUCGGAAUUACUGGGCGUAAAGCGCGCGUAGGCGGCUUUGUAAGUUAGAGGUGAAAGCCCAGAGCUCAACUCCGGAACUGCCUUUAAAACUGCAUCGCUUGAAUCCAGGAGAGGUGAGUGGAAUUCCGAGUGUAGAGGUGAAAUUCGUAGAUAUUCGGAAGAACACCAGUGGCGAAGGCGGCUCACUGGACUGGUAUUGACGCUGAGGUGCGAAAGCGUGGGGAGCAAACAGG